GUCCCGGGAGCGCACGUGCGCGGCGGGGGGGCGGCGAGGGGUGGGCUGCUCGCGCUCCCCUGGGAGCUCUGGGGGUCCGCAGGGCGCCGGAAGGGUGCCGGGAUGCACCCUCGGGGGUUCGGGCGAGGUCUGCCGCCUCGGCUUCUGCACCGUGCUGCGGUGCAAAACCACAAACCCUGCUGCAGCAGCAGCGACGCCGGGAAGAGCCAUCCUCCGAGACUACGGCAGUGGCUCCUCUCCACUCACAGCUGACCCCGGGGUGCUGUCACCGCGCCGCGGAGCAGAGGGGGGCGUUGCCGCAAGUCGGGAAGCUCCCUGCCUCUCCAUCCUUUGCGCAUUUUGGUCUAAAAUCAACUCGCAUCGGUUAUUAUUUGGAAUCUGGGCCUAAAAGUUCUAUUGGUUGUCUUCAUUCAGAGUUAUGGACUGGAAGAUUGGAAGUGACCUGGGAAGGGAGAGGAAGGACAAGAAAGGGUAAAAGAGCAGCUACCCCGGAAGGUAGCCAUGAGUGUGAGCAUGCGUGCUCAGUCAUGGCCGACUCUGCGACCCCAUGGACUGAAGCCCCGAAGACUCCUCUGUCCGUGGAUUUCUCCAGGCAAGAAUACUGGAGUAGGUUGUCAUUUCCUCCUCCAGGGGAUCUUCCCGAUCCAGGGAUUGAAGGCACAUGUGUUGAGUCUCCUGCAUUGGCUACUUCUAUUCUUAAGACGUGAUUAUUCUUGCUCAAACUCUUAAGUGCUCUGUGCUUCUAAUCAUACACACAUUUCAGCCACUACUCACCUCUCCACUCACUCUGCUUCAGCUAUGUGAUCAGCCUCCAGCUAGUCCCUAAACCAGGGAGGGCACCCUCUCCUGGCUUUUAAAUUAACCUUUUCAGUUGCUGUCUAAAAUACUUCUGGGGACUUCCCUGGCAGUCCAGUGGCUAAGACUCCAUGCACCCAAUGCAGGGGUGUGGGUUCCAUCCCUGGUCAGGGAACUAGAUCCCACACGCUGCAACUAAGGGUUCGCGUGCCGCAACUAAAGAUCCUGAAUGCUGCAACUAAAUCUGGCACAGCCAAAUGAAUAAAUUUUUUAAAAAUUAAUAAAUAAAAGAAAUA
rnacentral:lncRNA from 1 species